rnacentral:rRNA from 1 species
GCAGCCGCGGUAAUACGUAGGGGGCGAGCGUUGUCCGGAAUGAUUGGGCGUAAAGGGCGUGUAGGCGGUCUUGUAAGUCUGAAGUGAAAGUCCUGUUUUCAAGAUGGGAAUUGCUUUGGAUACUGCAAGACUUGAGUGCAGGAGAGGUUAUCGGAAUUCCCGGUGUAGCGGUGAAAUGCGUAGAGAUCGGGAGGAACACCAGUGGCGAAGGCGGGUAACUGGACUGCAACUGACGCUGAGGCGCGAAAGUGUGGGGAGCAAACAGGAUUAGAUACCCC